AUGCAAGUCGAGCGGGGGAAGGUAGCUUGCUACUGGACCUAGCGGCGGACGGGUGAGUAAUGCUUAGGAAUCUGCCUAUUAGUGGGGGACAACAUCUCGAAAGGGAUGCUAAUACCGCAUACGUCCUACGGGAGAAAGCAGGGGAUCUUCGGACCUUGCGCUAAUAGAUGAGCCUAAGUCGGAUUAGCUAGUUGGUGGGGUAAAGGCCUACCAAGGCGACGAUCUGUAGCGGGUCUGAGAGGAUGAUCCGCCACACUGGGACUGAGACACGGCCCAGACUCCUACGGGAGGCAGCAGUGGGGAAUAUUGGACAAUGGGGGGAACCCUGAUCCAGCCAUGCCGCGUGUGUGAAGAAGGCCUUAUGGUUGUAAAGCACUUUAAGCGAGGAGGAGGCUACUUUAGUUAAUACCUAGAGAUAGUGGACGUUACUCGCAGAAUAAGCACCGGCUAACUCUGUGCCAGCAGCCGCGGUAGUACAGAGGGUGCGAGCGUUAAUCGGAUUUACUGGGCGUAAAGCGUGCGUAGGCGGCUUAUUAAGUCGGAUGUGAAAUCCCC
rnacentral:rRNA from 1 species